rnacentral:rRNA from 1 species
UACGUACGAGGCGAGCGUUAUCCGGAAUUACUGGGCGUAAAGCGCGCGCAGGCGGAUGCUUAAGUAGGGCGUGAAAUCUCCCGGCCUAACUGGGAGGGGUCGCUCUAGACUGGGCGUCUUGAGGACAGCAGAGGUGGGUGGAAUUCCUGGUGUAGUGGUGAAAUGCGUAGAGAUCAGGAGGAAUACCGGUGGCGAAAGCGACUCUCUGGUACGUGACUGACGCUGAGACGCGAAAGCGUGGGGAGCGAACAGG